UAGAUUAAAUUACUUUUGAGAAGACAGACAGUAUAGUUGAUGGACUUAAUAAAAACAUUUCAGUUGACGUUGAUAGUCUGAUCAAUUGUACCGAAGUAUCUGAAUGUGAUGGGUCAGUCAACAAAGUGGCCAGUUGUGAAAUGAAAAAUAAAUCAAAACCGGAUGCAGUCUCGGUGAGAGAGACAAACGAUAGUGAACGGCUUGAAAGUGAGAAGAGCUGGGAGUGCACAUUGUGUUCUAAACGUUACAAAGAGAGAAAAUCGCUCAAAGUUCAUUUGAGAAAACAUUCUGGUGACCGGCCUUAUAAUUUUUUCACUCACACAAUCUUAGCACCUCAUAUAAAGCAUGGAAGCACUUGAGUUGACUAAUAAAAUGGAUCUUGAAAUGUGACGUUUGCGGCAAAUCGUUCGGCCAAUCAGGGACGCUGUUGAGCCACCGUGCCGUGCACUCGGACGCAAGACCACACGCAUGCGCGGUGUGUGGACGCGGGUUUCGCCAGCGGUCUCAACUGCGCAUGCACCUGCUUAGGCAUGAAAACGUCAAGCGCUACCAGUGCAAAACAUGCCAGUUCAAGUUUCUCACCAGAGGUGACCUUGUGAGACACGAAAAGACGCACACCGGUGAGCGACAGUAUCGCUGUGACAUAUGCUACAAAUCGUACGCCAGGCGACAGUCGCUCGAGCUACAUUUGAGAAAAAAGUGCGGUAUUACGGAAAUCAAUAUUCAACACUUACUCAAAGUUCCCGCCAAUACCGAUUAAUCAAAUAGCGUAAAUGUGCUGAGAAGGGUAAAUGAAGUGAUAAUUGUUGUAAUUCUUAAAUUGGAUUUAUUAUUGGGUAUAAAAUAUUUUAUUAAAUAAAUAUGCU